UAAAAAGUGUAGAAUGCUUAGAUGAUUGGCAAGUACAGUUACUAGUGCAUGUAUUGGGCUGGCGUCACUCAUUUUUUUUUAGUAGAUCUCAUUUGGCCAUUAAUAUUGUUUUUUUUCUUGCACAGAUGGUUUUCAAGCUGGCAGAGAUAUACGAAGCAAGGCGUGGCUGAAUCUUUGGUUGAUGAGCAGUCUUCUGGAUCUCAAAAUAUGGAUGUUAUUACUUUAAAGAGUGCAAAUAGACCCGGGCAGAUUGAUUAUUUUGAUAUAGUUCUAAAUAACAAAGAUAGUGAUGGUGAUGAACUAGAGCUUCGUAGAAUGUUGGAGGAAGGACGUGACUAUGUUCUAGUUUCCCAACAAGUUUGGGAAAGACUAUUGUCUUGGCCUCUACAAGGGAGCUUUAUGAGAGGGUGUGUAGCCUUCGUGGAGUAGAAAAAGAAAAGGUACUUAUUUGGGACUAUUUCAAUAAACGGCGAACUCAAGGCUGAGUAACUCAAACCAAACUUUGGAGGAGGCAAACUUGCAGAUGGAUCAAGAAAUUCUUCUUGAGGUGCAAGAUGUAAAUAAUGCUUCUCCAUUCGGCAAGGAUUCAACAGGAAAUAAGUUGGCUUUGGUAUCUAUAGAACCAUCCAGGUCUUCAGUUACAAUUGCUGGGGGGCCUACAAUGUCAAAUGGCCAUUCAACUGGAUAUAGCUCUAAUUUAUAUCAGGGAAAUGCUGUAAGUUUGUCAUUCUCAGAUAUUGAUGA